GGCUCAUACCCAGAUCUCAAAAAAUAAAGUAAGGAAAAGUGAAAGGACUUUGCUAAAUACUCCCUUUCUUGAAAACGCAUAUGCCUGUAGAAAGAAAGCAAGUUCCGAGAAUCCUCUUCUCUCUAGUACUAAACCGUUUCUUUUCCUCUUUGCACAGAUUUAUUCCCCAGCACAGCAAGAAGAUGCGCCUGUGACCCUUUUCAAACUUACUCUCCACUCGGCUUAUGGAGACCAUCAGCUGCAGGACAAAUAUUUUAGUUUGGAUAUGCAUGUCACAAUUAAUAAUAAAAAGUGUGAAAGCAUGAGUCGGAAUCUACUUUUUGUACGUCUACUCUGAGGAGUCUCUUCUUUAGCCAAGCAGUACUGGGCCAUGAGAACAUAUCCACAAAGUUGAAGUCAGCUCUGUGAGCCGUGGAGUUCUCCCCAGCUCUGUGAAGCCCUGUGAAGCAGAGUUUUCGGAAGUGAUGAUUAUUUUGAGUCAAAAAUGAUCACCGGACACCACGUAACGUAUACACCAAAGGAACUCAAGAAAUAAUAGCCGCUACCCAGUCCCCAGAUGGAAGAGUCACCUUAUCCUUGAAGCUGUCACUCUUUAUUCGGCACUUUUAUCUUUAUCAGUGCUGUUUUCAUCUUGAAAUAUAAACGCAGGAACGCCUCAAUCUGCAUCUCAACCUAGCCCCAGGCUGAAGGGUUCCGCCAGUGUUAUCAAACACUAAGGCUUAUUCACAUAUCCAGGCUUGUGCCGUGGACAAUUCAGUCAAUGGUGGCUCACAGAUAUGGCGGUAGUCCCACAGAUUACCAUGAGUUGGAAAGUUCCUACAACCCAGUGAUGUCUUAGCCACCAUAGCAUAAUAACUCCCAUGCUUGUCGUUACGUUGGUGCAGACAGACCUAUGCCAGCUUCGGAGAAUGAGACCACAGGCUCUGCGCAUGACCGGCAGAUCUCUUAGGAACCCGCCCACCAUCGUUGGUAGGAUUCAUUCACAGGAUCUCAUCCUCUUGCUACCACCCCGUGCUGCAGCUGCCUCAAGUGUCUACUCUCUCUGACCCUUCGAGAAAGCCUAUCUAGACUCCAGCGAGAAUUCCAUCUCUGUCUGGUUUAUUCCCACUGAAGAGAAAAAUAACUUUAACAGCAACAACAAACGCGUUCUUCGCUUGUUAGCCUUUUCAUUCCUGGCCCUGACACAAAGAAACUAGUAUUCUGUCUUCCUGGCACAGGUCUGAGGUAGGGGAAAGAACAGAACCCGUGUCAUCGUCCCUUUGUGGGGUGGGGAUGAAGGGGAGCCGGGGCUGUCUGGGAGUGAUGCUCCUCACCCCUGCAAAGUAGCAGAUGCUACUAGACCAUUUUGAAAAAUAGAGAUGUGGACUUCGGUCUUGGGCAGAAAGUCCACCGUACUGCUUAGUUUCCUGUUCUUUAUGAAUCUAACCAGUCUAUCUCUGUUUUACUAUUUUCCAGUCACUGGAUCAGUCCACGUCAACCUGAACCUGAAAGCCAAAUAUCUUUCCCUCCUUUGUUAGGUUCAUGUUACCCUGAACCUGUGAGCUCAGUAGAAAUUUUCUGGUUAUCUGGAGCCGGCAGUUAUUCAUUAUAGCUCCCCACCACUGACUGACUGAGGGUUAAUUAUCAUCAAACAUCUAUCUGCCCACGUG
rnacentral:lncRNA from 1 species